rnacentral:rRNA from 1 species
GCGAGUGAAGCGGCAAAAGCUCAAAUUUGAAAUCUAGUACCUUCGGUGCUCGAGUUGUAAUUUGUAGAGGGAUACUUUGGGACCGUUCCUUGUCUAUGUUCCUUGGAACAGGACGUCAUAGAGGGUGAGAAUCCCGUGUGGCGAGGAGUGCGGUUCUUUGUAAAGUUCUCUCGAAGAGUCGAGUUGUUUGGGAAUGCAGCUCUAAGUGGGUGGUAAAUUCCAUCUAAAGCUAAAUAUUGGCGAGAGACCGAUAGCGAACAAGUACAGUGAUGGAAAGAUGAAAAGAACUUUGAAAAGAGAGUGAAAAAGUACGUGAAAUUGUUGAAAGGGAAGGGCAUUUGAUCAGACAUGGUGUUUUGCGCCCUCUGCUCCUUGUGGGUAGGGGAAUCUCGCAGCUCACUGGGCCAACAUCAGUUUUGGUGGCAGGAUAAAUCCAUAGGAAUGUAGCUUGCUUGCAAGUAUUAUAGCCUGUGGGAAUACUGCCAACUGGGACUGAGGACUGCGACUUUGUCAAGGAUGUUGGCAUAAUGGUUAAAUGCCGCCC